rnacentral:ncRNA from 2 species
AUGAGGUCAAAAAAUUAUCCUUGUAUAAUAUCAGUUGAAUGGUCUGAUAGUUUCUACCCGGCAGCCAUAAUUGUCGGACUACAGGGAAGUAUGAAUAAACU